GACGAACGCUGGCGGCGUGCCUAAUACAUGCAAGUAGAACGCUGAAGAGAGGAGCUUGCUCUUCUUGGAUGAGUUGCGAACGGGUGAGUAACGCGUAGGUAACCUGCCUUGUAGCGGGGGAUAACUAUUGGAAACGAUAGCUAAUACCGCAUAACAAUGGAUGACACAUGUCAUUUAUUUGAAAGGGGCAAUUGCUCCACUACAAGAUGGACCUGCGUUGUAUUAGCUAGUAGGUGAGGUAAUGGCUCACCUAGGCGACGAUACAUAGCCGACCUGAGAGGGUGAUCGGCCACACUGGGACUGAGACACGGCCCAGACUCCUACGGGAGGCAGCAGUAGGGAAUCUUCGGCAAUGGGGGCAACCCUGACCGAGCAACGCCGCGUGAGUGAAGAAGGUUUUCGGAUCGUAAAGCUCUGUUGUAAGUCAAGAACGGGUGUGAGAGUGGAAAGUUCACA
rnacentral:rRNA from 1 species